UACGUAGGGUGCGAGCGUUUGUCCGGAAUUACUGGGCGUAAAGAGCUCGUAGGCGGUUUGUUGCGUCGGCUGUGAAAUCCCGAGGCUCAAACCUCGGGUCUGCAGUCGAUACGAGCAAACUAGAGUGUUGCAGGGGAGACUGGAAUUCCUGGUGUAGCGGUGAAAUGCGCAGAUAUCAGGAGGAACACCGGUGGCGAAGGCGGGUCUCUGGGCAACAACUGACGCUGGAGGAGCGAAAGCGUGGGGAGCAAACAGG
rnacentral:rRNA from 1 species